rnacentral:rRNA from 1 species
GGCUCUUUGGUAAUAAAAUAUAAGGAGUCGUACCUGCCCAGUGAAAUUUAAUUAAACGGCCGCAGUACCCUGACUGUGCAAAGGUAGCAUAAUCACUUGCCUUAUAAUUGGAGGCUGGAAUGAAUGGUUUGACGUAGGCUAAACUGUCUCUUUCUUAUUAAAUAGAAAUUAUUUUUUAGGCGCAGAAUCCUUAAUAAAACUGAUAGACGAAAAGACCCUAUUGAGCUUUAAUAAUAAAAAAAAAUUAGAUUAAUUUAUUUAGAUUGUAUUUUUAAAAUUAUUUUUGUUGGGGCGACAGAAGAACAAAUAUAGCUUCUUUUUAUUUAUUAAAUUUAUUGAUUUUUUGAUCCAUUAUUUGUGAUUAGAAGAAGAAGUUACCAUAGGGAUAACAGCGUAAUCUUUCUGGAGAGUUCUUAUCGAAAGAAAGGGUUGCGACCUCGAUGUUGGAUUAAGAUAACUAUUUGGUGUAGUAGCUAAAAAAAGUUGGUCUGUUCGACCAUUAAAUUCUUACA